rnacentral:lncRNA from 10 species
UUCUGAACUCCUGACCUCAGGUGAUCCACCCACCUCAGCUUCCCGAAGUGUUGGGAUUACAGGCAUGAGCCACCGCGCCCGGCCAUUCCACAGCCUUUAAUGCCUAUGCACUAAACCCUCCAGGGACAAGUAGCACGUUUUCUUAACCACCAUUUCUCUUUCUUAACCCUGGGAGUUGGGUAUCUCAGGGUAACUUGACGGUUAGAUGAAGGAAUAGAAUGAUACGGAGCAAUCAGUUCUCACUGUUGAAACCUUAUGUUCACUGGGAGGCAGAUGGGGUAGAGAUUUUGAACAUGGGGAGAAGUUCAUAGGCCCCAUCCUCUAGAUAUUAAAGAGUAGCCAAUCAUGGUCAGUUUCUCUUUUCUUUUUAAAAAUUAAAAAUAGCUUUAUUGAGAUAUAAUUCACAUAUAAUACAAUUCACCUAUUUAAAGGGCACAAUUCAGUGAUGUCUAGUAUAGUCACUGAGUUCGUGCAGCCAUCACCAUAGUCAAUUUUACAGCAUUCAUGGUCAAUUUCUAUGAGUGAUGAGAAAGCGAAUACCUUUAUUUCACAUAGCAUUUGAAAUCAGUACCCACUCAUUACCUUUAUACAAUUGUUUAUUUUAAAUGAUGUUUCUCACACCAAGACUGAUGGGUUAACACCCUCUAACUCCAGUCCUACCUCUGGAUAGGUAGGAAGGUUAACUAGAGUUCCUAUAUACCAACACACACAGUUCCUUAGGGUCAACAUGUGAGAGAACAUUUAGCAAACAGUCUUUGUCCUAGGGCUGGGUUCACUUCUGGUUCCUGGUGCUGUGUUUUCAUCUACCUUUGUUUCUGCCAGGAGUUGGGAGAGCUGGUGACUUCUUUCUGCUUCAGACCCUUUGGCUUCCAGACUCCAGCCCACUCUUGACUACAGGUGACCCACUGACACCCUGGAGCCUGCUCUAUUGCCUUGGCCACCUUUUCUAGGGCUCUUGGCCUUGUUCCUGACCUUUUGCUGCACUAGAGUCCUCACCUUCUGUUGCAGAUCCCAGUCCCUGACACUGGUGUGGCCUUCUCACCAGAGCAAGCAGGCCCAGCCAAUCAGUUUCAUUCUAUUGUAACCUUUGCCCUAUUUUGAAAUCAUGAGUGAUUCUCUGCACUUCAGCAGGGCUCACUUCACCAACUGAAGAUAAGGAAGCCCCUACUACCAAGGUCAUGUUUCUAAAUUCAAGACUUGUAAGAUAGACUGAGAACCAGAAAUAAACUAGAUUGAAAAAUCUAGUUAAGCCUUAGUGAUUUUUUUUGUACAAAUAUAUUCAGCUUGUGUUAUUUAUAAAAUUGAAAUGUCCAGCAAUAGAUGGUAGUUGAAUGAAUUAUAAUACAUCCCCAUGAUGAAAUAUUACUCAGCAAUUGAUAUUUAUCAAAAGGCUUUGAUGAAGAAGGUAACGCUUAUCGUAUAAUAGUCAGAAAAUCAGGAUAUAAAAUUGCACACAGAGAAUGGUAUCAACUAUGUAAAACACACACAUUUUUUAAAAAAAGACCAGAAAGAAAUAGCUAAUUUUUAAUCUCUAGAUAGGUAUUGAUUAUUUUCUUUUCUAUGCUUUUCUGUACUUUCUGAGUAUGCAUUCCUUUUACAAGCAGAAAAAAAGGUAAUAUUAACUUUUUAAAAGAACUAUUUUAGGCUAAGCGUUAUGACUCACACCUGUAAUUCCAGUGCUUUGGGAGGCCAAGGUGGGAGGACUGCUUGAGCCCAGGUGUUUGGAAACCAGCCUAGGCAAUAUAGCAAGACUCCUGUCUACAGAAAAAAAAAAGUUUUUUUCAAAUUAGCCAGACACACACCUAUAACUACUGGGGAGGCUGAAGCGGGAGGCUCGCUUGAGCCCAGGAGAUCAGGGAUACAGUGAGCUAUGAUCACUCCAUUGCAUUCCAGCCUGGGCAACAGAAUGAGGCUCUAUCAUAAAAUUCACUCAUUUCAAGUGUACAAAUCAAUGUUGUUGGUUUUUUUUUUUUUUGGAGACAGAAUCUUGCUCUGUCACCCAGGUUGGAGUGCAGUGGCGUCAUCUCAGCUCACUGCACCCUUCGCCUCCUGGGUUCAAGCGAUUCUUGUGCCUCAGCCUCCUGAGCAGCUGGGAUUACAGGUGCACACCACGACCUUUGGCUAAUUUUUUUUUGUAUUUUUAGUAGAGACAAGGUUUCACCAUGUUAGCCAGGCUGGUCUCGAAUUUUUGACCUCAAGUGAUCCGCCCGCCUUGGCUUCCCAAAAUGCUGGGAUUACAGGUGUGAGCCACUGCACCUAGCCAAAUGAAUGGUUUUUAAUAACUCUACCAAGUGGCACAGCCAUCAUCAUAAAUCAGUUUUAUAACAUUCUCUUCACCCCAGUAAGAAUCCUCAUGUUCAUUUAUAGUUAAUGCUCCUCCCCCUCAGCCACAGCACCAAGCAACCACUAAUCUACUUUCUGUCUCUGUUACUUUUCUGAACAUUUUAUGUAAUAGAUUCAUACAUGUGGUUAUUUGUGUCUGGCUUAUUUCACUUAACAUAGUGUUUCUGAGGUUCAUCCAGGUAGCAUGUAUCAAUUUAUUUUCUUUUAUCGCUCUGUAUUCUAACAUAUGAACAAACUACAUUUAAUCUAUUCAUUCCUCCAUUGAUGGACAUUUAGGUUGUUUCUAUUUGGGGACUAUUAUGAAUAAUACUGUUAUGAACAUUUGUGUACAAGUUUCUGCGUGUACAUGUUUCCAUUUCUCUUGUUUGUAGAUACCCAGGUAUGAAACACUGGGCCAUACAGCAACUUUGUGUUUAACUUUUUGAGAAACUGCCAAACUGUUUUCCAAAGUGGCUACAUUAACAUUUUUUUCUGGCCCUUUUCUGUAAGUAUAUAUUAGCUUCUAGAACUCCACCCUAGAACUUAAAGUAUGCCUCUUGGCCUUUAGAUAGACAGCUGGAUCUGGCUUUUUCAUCCUUUUCUCAGCAGAUUUAGCUGGUGACUGAGGAGACAGACUAUUACAAAAGUUAUAACCAUACUUGUAUUGGCCCAAGACAUCACCUGAGAAAUUAUUGAUGAUUCUUGUGCAUCCUUCAUAUUUCCUUAAGCUCCCAAUAAACAACGGACCCUUUGCUUGGCUUUUCCGGGCUAUGAAAAUCUCUAUAAUAAAGAAUUUGAGUGUUCAAGAAGGAAGUAUACCUUUAGCCUAGUUGUCUGCCCUUUUGGAAAUUUUUUAUAGUUAUCCAAUAGGCAGCUUCACCUUGAAAGACUCUAGUUUACUGUAGAUAGAAUCUAAUCAUCAAGAAUCUAAUGAAUGUUGACUAUAUGCCCAGCACUCUGCUAGGAGCUGUGGAUUGCAGAAAAUUAAUCCUAUGUUGUCUUUGCCCUCAAGAAAGUUACAAUUUGGCUGGGAAGAUUAAAAAAAAAAACAAGCACAUGUUAAACAGAACAAUUGAUGUCUGAUCAGAUACUAUGGUUUGGGAUAGUAAACCAGAAAAAAUUAAAUCAGACAGGAAAAGGAAGGCAAAAGCCCUGGGAUUCAUUUAAUUUGUUUUUCUUGAACAGUCAGGCACUGUUCUAGUCACUGGAGACAUAGCAAUGAACAAAGUUGACAAAAUCUCUACCCUCAGAGAGCUUACAUUCUAAGGACAUGAAAAUAAGAAAAAAUAAAGUAAAAUAAAUAGUAUGACAGAUGGUGGCCAUGGAAAAAUAAAGCAGAAAGUGGGAUGUGUGUGUGCAAAUUAAAAUAGGUUGGUCAGGGACCAUGUCUCUUAGAAGGUGAUAUAUAUGAGCAAACGGCUGAAGAAAUGAAGGAAGCAGUCAUGUGGCUGUCCAGGGGAAAUAGUAUUCCAGACUCAGAAAUCAGCAAGUGCAACAGCCUGAGGAGGGAUGUGCCUGGCAGGUUGGAGAAACUGCAAGAAGACGAAUAUGGCAGGGGCGAAAUGAACAAGAAAGUAAGUAGUAGGUGAUCAGGUCAGAAAGACAAUGGGAGAACUUUUUGGGCAGGGCCUUGGGGGCCAUUUUAAGAAUAUGAUCUUCUACUCUGAGUGAGAUGGGAAUCCAGUGGGAGGUUUUGGACAGGGGAGUAAGAUAUUUGGACAUGCUUUAAUAGAAUCACUUGGCAGCUGUUCUAGGAGUAGAUUGAAGAUAAACUGAAGGGGAAAGGCACAGAGACCAACUGGGAGGCUGUUGAAAUAAUCUAUUGGCAUGGUCUUAUUUUGAAGCAGGAGCCACCAUGAACAAAAGGUAGUGUUCAGGAAACACUGAAGAGCCAUACUUGACUGCAGAGAAUGCCAAGUUGGAGAUGAUGGGCAACUAUGGUAGGAUUGGAUUUGGUAGGGGGUAUAAAGGAGUCUAGAGUCAGAAAAAUAGGGAGUUACCCUAGUAUAUUAGUCUGGUAGGGUUGCCACAAGAAAAUAACGUAGGCUGGAUGCUUUAAACAACAGAAACUUAUUUUUUCACAGUCCUGGAGGCUAGAAGUUCCAUAUCAAGGUAUGAACUAAUUUAGUCCCUGGUGAAGGCUCUCUUCUUGGCUUAUAGAUAAUUGCUUCUCACUUGUCUUCACAUGGCCUUUCCUCUGUGCUGGCAUAAAGAGAAAAAACUCUGGUCUGUCUUUCUUUUCUUACAAGGGCACCGAUACUAUUGGAUUGGGAACCCACUCUUAUUACCUCAUUUAACCUUAAUUACCUUCUUAGAGACCCUAUCUCCAAAUAUAUUCCCAUUAAGGGUUAGGGCUUCAACAUAUGAAUUUGGUGGGGGUAGGGGGAGCAACAUAAUUCAGCUCAUAAUAUGUAGGUUAUCAAUUAGAGAAUUUUGGGGAGACAAAUCUGAUAUUGGCUACUAGGAUGAAUUGAAAGAGGAAAGCUUAGGGGACUAAUCUGGAAGCUCUAUGUAAGGAUCAAGACAAGAGAUGUUGCAAGCCUUGACUAGGGCACAGGUUAGCUAGUGAGGGACAGAGAGAGCCUUAGAGAAAUUCCCUAGCUCUAUUACCACAUUUCUGUUAUAGAAAAGGAAUUUUGUGUCUUUAUUUCCACUUAUUUAUCAUAUUUAUUGAACAUAUGCCAGAGCAUAUAUCAGAGAGUGAAUUGGGCACACAAAUAUACCAUUUGCUCAUCCAUACACAUACACACCAAGACACUCCACUAUAUGUACUUUCACUCACCCUUCCCCACUUGCACAUGCCUGUGAGCAUCUAUGAAACAGUAUUUCAAGGAUGCAAAUGCAGAAGAAAAAGAACAUGCUUACAACAUAAAUUUGUGAGAGAAAAGACUGGGUAGAUAGGAAGGAGAAUCAGAAGUAUGACAGUUAAGAGAGAGAAUUGAAAUUCAGAUUGCUGAAGUCCAGGAGAAGACUCAUGACCAGGUAAGGUGAAUUUCUCUGUAACAUAUUCUACUACCAAGUUACACUAAUUUUCCACUAUUUUGUGGAUGUAGGUCAUACUAAAAGCCAGUGUUUUAUAAACAGGCAUAUGUAGCAUACAGAGUUGAUAUUCAUUUGAUGGUUAUCUUUGUUCCAGUUUCAGAAAGAGACCACCUGGCCGAUGUGAACUCCCUGCUUUCAGUUUAAUAGGCAGUGUCUGCUGACCCUUCUUGUACUAGGGUGGUCUGAGCUGAAUGAGGACAGGGCUUUCUAGAAGGGAGAUUCAAAAGAAACAAAUAAAAGGUAAAGGCAAUAUGCUGUUUCAGCUAACACUGCCGACGUGCUGAGUAGGGUGCACCAACAGUGCAAGGGCAAUAGGUGGGAAGAGAAGGGACAAAAUACUGCACAAGAGAAGUUAGGUAGCACAGAGGUUAGCAUACGGCCUCUGGAGUUACACUAAUCUUGGUCUCAAGCUCAGCUUCUCCACUUAGUGAUGUGGUCUUGAACACAUUAUUUAACCUUUGUGUGCCUUUGUUUUUGUUAACAGAAAGGAAAUCAGAAAAGAACAGUAUUUACCUCAUAGGUUGCAGUGAAGAUUAAAUGACAUAUCAAAAGCGUUCAUCAUAGCUUGGCACACAGUAGGCCUGAAAAUUAACUGGUGGAAGUUGUUUUUCUAAAAGUCAAAAGUGGAAACAUUUGCAGUGCUAAAAAUAAUAAGCAUUAAGCUUUCCAUUUACAAAUCUAACUAGAUUAUAGGUCUUGAGAAUGGUGGGAGUAUCUUGGUCAAAAAAAUUUUUGUGAAACAUCCCACUGGUAAAAUGAGUUUUCUCACAAUCCCAUUCUUUGUGAGACUGAAUAUGGAAUGCCACAGAACUAGACAGGAAUCUCACUCCAAGUUUGCUGACCACCAGAUGCACGAUGACAUUUUCCCAAGAUAUUUGCUAGGUUUUUUUUCCUCCAAAUAAUGAGUCAUUAUUGUAAGAUAUUGUUUAUUGUAAAACUCUUGUGUUCCUUCCGUACAUACUAAAACAAAAGGUCACUUUAAAGGCACAUUAUGUUGUAGUCAAGAAUAAAAGAAUACAAUGUUGUGAAAUGUCAUACUGUAUGAUGGGCCCUGUCUUGCUGUGCCUUCUUUAUAUCAAUUUAAAAUAUACACAUUAGAUACAAAGCAAGUGGCAGAACAUUUAGUUGGACCCUACUUAUGCAAAAAUUGUAUUUUUUUAUAUGCACAGAGAGUUUCUGGAAGGACAGAAAAUAAUCUACUGAUAAUGAUUCUAUCUAAGGUCAAGAUUCUUUUACUUUUUCUUGUUUUUUGAGACAGAGUUUCACUGUUGUUGCCCUGGCUGGAGUUCGAUGGCGCAAUCUCGGCUCACCGCAAACUCCGCUUCCCGGGCAACAAGAGUGAAACUCUGUCUCAAAAACAAAAAAACAAAAAACAAAACAAAAAAAACCACAUUAUGACACCUACAGGCUAAUUCAUGUAGAGAACCAGGAUCUCUUCACGGGUAAUACCAUGAAGAAUUACCUCCAAGUAUUCCCAGGGUUAUUCCAUAAAUGUGGGGGUUUGAGCUACAGCAUUUUUACUAAAAUGAGGUAACUCAGUGGAGCUCAAUCCAGAAGAAACUUCUGACUCAGAGGUUCUAGCCACAUUUAGUAUCUGGAUGUAUCUACGCUGCUACACCCAACUCUGCUCAGUGUUUUUCCUUCACUGAGUCAGAAUAAUGACUCUAGGGGUGUAGCUGUAUCACAGUAGUAAUGGAACCCCCAUCCCUAUAUUGACUGAAAGCACAUUUCUAAGUACUUUGCUUUUUGUCCUAUGCCCUCACUCUGACUCUUGGAUAUUAUGACAGAAAAGCCAAAUAACUUGCUCAUAAUUAAAUGUCAUGCACUCUUACACAAAAAUGGACAUUUAACUAGUGAAAAAUUAAAAUAUCUUGGUAAGUCUCUUGAUAUGGGGUUAUAGUCAUAAGUGACCUAAACCAGAGAAUGAAGUCACUAAGAGACCUCCCAAAAGCUUCAAACUAAGAAAAGCAUGCUAAAAAUUAAGGAAAAACCUUCCAAAAAUAGGAGUCUUGGUGAAGACAAGACAAAAUGCCAUUUUAUUGACAGCAUCCUCUCUAAGUUAUGGAGAUUGUUAUAACCUCCCCUGCAGGUGUCUUCAGUAAAUAUUUUGCUCUACAAAAUAAAAUAAUCCAAAAACUUGUAGCUUCUCUGCCCAAACAACGAUCAUUUUUAACUGCUCUAUGGACAGUGAGUGAACCUAUAUAUAUGGGUAGCAUGAGAAGAGUUUAUGGAGCGUGAAGCUUUACUUUGUUCAGGCUUACAGGAAGAAAUCACUGGCCAAUAUAAAUUUCCUGCUUUCAACUAACAUGACAGUGUCUGUUAUAUCCUUUCUUAUGGUCUGGGCUAAAUGAGGACAGGACUCUUUGCAAAGGAGAUUCAAAAGGAAGUUGCAAAAAUAUGUCUUCUGUCACUGUGAAUCUGCAGGUCUCAUCUGGGUUUCUUUGUAUUUUUCAAAACCAUCUUAUAAUCUAUUCCUCUAUGCCUGAUUUCCCAAAUAGAAGCACUAUAAAAAACCAAACCCUUGCACUGGGCACGGUGGCCCAAGCAUAUAAUCUCAGCACUUUGAAAGGCUGAGGUGGGAGGAUUGCUUGAGGCUAGGAGUUUGAGACCAGCCCGGGCAACAUAGUGAGAUCCCAUCUCUACAAAAAAAAAAAAAAAAAAAUACAAACACUAGCCAGGUGUGGUGGUGUGCACCUAUAGUUUCAGCUACUCGGGAAACUGAGUUGGGAGGAUUUCUUGAGGCUGGGAGGCCGAGGUCACAGUGAGCCAUGAUCAUGCCACUGCACUCCAGCCUGGGCAACAGAGUGAGACCUUAUCUCAAAGGAAAAAAAUAAAAAUAAAAAAAUAAGAAGUAAAAAAAUCAAACCCUUAAAUAUAUUGAUUCAAAGUAACAGGAAAGAGGAAACUGUCUGGAUUCUGUCCCUGGCACAAGUAUAAAAUACACAUUAUUGACAAGUACCUGGAGAAAAAACAGGAUAGAAGACUCAUGGUAAGAUUAUUGAAUUGUUUGGAUUAGUUUUAGCUUUUGACUAUUAUAACAAAUGUUCCAGAUUUUAUCUAAGCCAAGCUAUCUGCUCAGCAGUCACCCCUUUUUUUUUGCUGCAUUAUAAGCAAAUAAGGCAUAAUGGUGGUGGUGAUGGCAGACCCCAAACCUGUGUCACUGGAGACAAGGAGAGAGAGCUGGGACUCUGUUAAAGAAAAGUGUGUAACAGGACAAGGGAAUAGCCUAUCAGGGAAAGGUGAGAAACAAGUAAGGAAAGGGAGGUGUCCUUUUACUUGGGUUAAGAUAGCACAAUGUAGGCUGGGCACGGGGGCUCCCGCCUAUAAUCCCAGCACUAUGGGAGGCUGAGGCGGAUGGAUCAUCUGAGGUUGGGAGUUCGAGACCAGCCUGACCAACAUGGAGAAACCCCAUCUCUACUAAAAAAAUAAAUAAAUACAAAAUUAGCCAGGCAUGGUGGUGCAUGUCUGUAAUCCCAGCUAUUCGGGAGGCUGAGGCAGGAGAAUCACUUGAAUCCAGGAGGCGGAGGUUGCGGUGAGCUGAGAUCACGCCAUUGCACUCCAGCCUAGGCAACAAGCAAAACUCUGUCUUAAAAAAAAAAAAAACAAAAAAACAAAAACAAACAAAAAAACAGAUAGC